rnacentral:rRNA from 1 species
CAGUCGCCACGGUAAUACGAAGGGGGCUAGCGUUGCUCGGAAUGACUGGGCGUAAAGGGCGCGUAGGCGGCGGCCAAAGUCAGGCGUGAAAUUCCCGGGCUCAACCUGGGGGCUGCGUUUGAUACUUGGUUGCUUGAGUGGGGAAGAGGGUCGUGGAAUUCCCAGUGUAGAGGUGAAAUUCGUAGAUAUUGGGAAGAACACCGGUGGCGAAGGCGGCGACCUGGUCCUUCACUGACGCUGAGGCGCGAAAGCGUGGGGAGCAAACAGGAUUAGAUACCCCUGUAGUCCCUGUCUCUUAUAC